rnacentral:rRNA from 1 species
ACUGUACAAAGGUAGCAUAAUAAUUAGUCUCUUAAUUAGGGACUAGAAUGAAUGAUUGAACGAGAUAAUAACUGUCUCUUAUUAAAUUAUAGAAUUUUAUUUUUAAGUUAAAAAGCUUAAAUGAAUUUAAAAGACGAGAAGACCCUAUAGAGUUUUAUAUUUAAUUUAUUAUAAAAUUUAGUUUAAAAUUUUUAUUUUUUAAAAUAAAUAUUUAAUUGGGGUGAUUAAAAAAUUUAAAUAACUUUUUUUAAAAAUUAUCAUUGAUUAAUGAAUUUUUGAUCCAAUAUUUUUGAUUAUAAGAUUAAAUUACCUUAGGGAUAACAGCGUAAUUUUUUUUAAGAGUUCUUAUCGAAAAAAAAGAUUGCGACCUCGAUGUUGGAUUAAAAUUAAUUUUUGGCGUAGAAGUUAAAAAAUUAGGUCUGUUCGACCUUUAAAAUUUUACGUGAUCUGAGUUUA